rnacentral:rRNA from 1 species
GACGAACGCUGGCGGCGUGCUUAACACAUGCAAGUCGAACGGUAAGGCCCCUUCGGGGGUACACGAGUGGCGAACGGGUGAGUAACACGUGAGCAACCUGCCCUUGACUCUGGAAUAACAGUUGGAAACAGCUGCUAAUACUGGAUAUUCAUCGUCUCCUUCCUGGGGGGUGGUGGAAAGCUCCGGCGGUCAGGGAUGGGCUCGCGGUCUAUCAGCUUGUUGGUGAGGUAAUGGCUCACCAAGGCUUCGACGGGUAGCCGGCCUGAGAGGGCGACCGGCCACACUGGGACUGAGAUACGGCCCAGACUCCUACGGGAGGCAGCAGUGGGGAAUAUUGCACAAUGGGCGCAAGCCUGAUGCAGCAACGCCGCGUGCGGGAUGACGGCCUUCGGGUUGUAAACCGCUUUCAGUAGGGACGAAGGGUGACUGACGGUACCUACAGAAGAAGGACCGGCUAACUACGUG